rnacentral:rRNA from 1 species
GAUCAACGCUGGCGGCGUGCCUAAUGCAUGCAAGUCGAACGUGCUCACCUUCGGGUGGGUGGCGUGGCGGACGGGUGAGGAACACGUGGGCAAGCUGCCCCGAGGCAGGGGGUAACCACCGGAAACGGUGGGUAAUUCCGUAUGUGGGUGCAGACCGAGUGGGGUUUGUACUGAAAGGGGUAACCCGCCUUGGGAGGCGCCUGCGGCCGAUUAGCUAGUUGGUGGGGUAACGGCCUACCAAGGCUGUGAUCGGUAGCUGGUCUGAGAGGAUGAUCAGCCACACGGGGACUGAGACACGGCCCCGACUCCUACGGGAGGCAGCAGCAAGGAAUUUUCCGCAAUGGGCGAAAGCCUGACGGAGCAACGCCGCGUGCGGGAUGACGCAUUUCGGUGUGUAAACCGCUGUUCGUGGGGACGAAGCACUGACGGUACCCACGGAGGAAGGCCCGGCUAACUACGUGCCAGCAGCCGCCGUAACAC